rnacentral:rRNA from 1 species
CUCACUGGUCGAGUCGGCCUGCGCGGAAGAUGUAACGGGGCUAAACCAUGCACCGAAGCUGCGGCAGCGACGCUUAUGCGUUGUUGGGUAGGGGAGCGUUCUGUAAGCCUGUGAAGGUGUGCUGUGAGGCAUGCUGGAGGUAUCAGAAGUGCGAAUGCUGACAUAAGUAACGAUAAAGCGGGUGAAAAGCCCGCUCGCCGGAAGACCAAGGGUUCCUGUCCAACGUUAAUCGGGGCAGGGU